CGAGCGACGCAUGCCGGAGGGGUAACCCACUGGUAUGACGGAGCGGCGAACGGGUGAGUAACACGUGAGCAACCUGCCCCACAGACCGGAACAGCCCAGGGAAACCUGGAUUAAUGCCGGAUGCCCUCAUCGGACCACAUGGCCUGAUGAGGAAAUGCCUUUGUGCUGUGGGAUGGGCUCGCGGCUUAUCAGCUAGUUGGUGGGGUAACGGCCUACCAAGGCGUCGACGAGUAGCUGGUCUGAGAGGACGAUCAGCCACACUGGGACUGAGAUACGGCCCAGACUCCUACGGGAGGCAGCAGCAGGGAAUCUUGCGCAAUGGGCGAAAGCCUGACGCAGCAACGCCGCGUGGGGGAUGACGGCCUUCGGGUUGUAAACCCCUUUCAGGAGGGAAGAAAUUGACGGUACCUCCAAAAGAAGCACCGGCCAACUACGUGCCAGCAGCCGCGGUAAUACGUAGGGUGCGAGCGUUAUCCGGAAUCAUUGGGCGUAAAGAGCUCGUAGGCGGUUCAGCAAGUCGGCUGUGAAAGUCCGAGGCUCAACCUCGGAACUGCAGUCGAUACUGCUGUGACUCGAGUCCGGUAGAGGAGAAUGGAAUUCCCGGUGUAGCGGUGAAAUGCGCAGAUAUCGGGAGGAACACCAGUA
rnacentral:rRNA from 1 species